UACAGAGGGUGCUAGCGUUGUUCGGAAUCACUGGGCGUAAAGGGCGUGUAGGCGGUCUGUUAAGUCUGAUGUGAAAUCCCCUCGCUUAACGAGGGAACUGCGUCGGAUACUGGCAGACUCGAGUACCGGAGAGGAAGGUGGAAUUCCCGGUGUAGAGGUGAAAUUCGUAGAUAUUCGGAAGAACACCAGUGGCGAAGGCGACUUACUGGACACAUAUUGACGCUGAGGUGCGAAAGCGUGGGGAGCAAACAGG
rnacentral:rRNA from 1 species